rnacentral:rRNA from 1 species
CAGUAGCCGCGGGAAUACGUAGGGUGCAAGCGUUAAUCGGAAUUACUGGGCGUAAAGCGUGCGCAGGCGGUUUGUUAAGACAGAUGUGAAAUCCCCGGGCUCAACCUGGGAACUGCAUUUGUGACUGGCAAGCUAGAGUGUGGCAGAGGGGGGUGGAAUUCCGCGUGUAGCAGUGAAAUGCGUAGAUAUGCGGAGGAACACCGAUGGCGAAGGCAGCCCCCUGGGCCAAUACUGACGCUCAUGCACGAAAGCGUGGGGAGCAAACAGGAUUAGAGACCCCAGUAGUCCCUGUCUCUUAUAC